rnacentral:rRNA from 11 species
GCUUACCACUUUGUGAUUCAUGACUGGGGUGAAGUCGUAACAAGGUAACCGUAGGGGAACCUGCGGUUGGAUCACCUCCUUA